UACGUAGGGUGCAAGCGUUGUCCGGAAUUAUUGGGCGUAAAGAGCUCGUAGGCGGUCUGUCGCGUCGGCUGUGAAAACCCGGGGCUCAACCCCGGGCCUGCAGUCGAUACGGGCAGACUAGAGUGUGGUAGGGGAGACUGGAAUUCCUGGUGUAGCGGUGGAAUGCGCAGAUAUCAGGAGGAACACCGAUGGCGAAGGCAGGUCACUGGGCCGCAACUGACGCUGAGGAGCGAAAGCAUGGGGAGCGAACAGG
rnacentral:rRNA from 1 species